rnacentral:piRNA from 1 species
UCUCAGCAGGCAGUGACUGGCAUGGUGUGU